GGCCCGCGGCUGGACCCCGCCUUCAUCUGGCUCACCGCGCCCUUUUCCUUGGCCCCACCGGAAAGCCAAAACAAUCGGUGCCGCGCAGGCGCGGGAAGGAAACGGAAAGCAGGAAGGGCGGAGGCGGCGCGAGCCUCCAACGCCUUCGGACGUUCAGUUUGCUACGGCCUCGGAAGUAUUGGCACCACGGAGAUAGCCUGCAGUUUGGAAGCAAAUGGGUGCAGAGGACGGUCUCCAUAAGUGACGCCUCCAGCCAGUACUUACUGCAAUGCAGCAGACGUCCUCCGUGCCCCAAAUUUCAAAGCAAAGCCUUGAAGCAGCAAGUGCUUGUGGUCUGAGCCUGUUUUAUAACUCGCUGUGGCUUGUUAGCAAGCAAAAAUGUUACCGAUUUGCUUAAAGAUAACAUGCAACAAAAGCAAAACAAAAAACCGUUCAGAAUCGCCUACUUCUUACUAACUUCCACCGUUAGAACAAAUCCAGUCUGGAGAAUAGGGAUGACUACAAGAUUAAAAAGCGUUAGGUAAAGGGGCAGACACCUCUAGUCCCAGCUGGCAGGAGGCUGGAGAAAGGAUAUUAGAAAUUCCAGGCUGUCCUUCGCUGAGUUUGAAUUUUAACCGGAGCCCAUGAACGACAUGAGACCAUUUCAAAGUACUGGUUUGGUGUCUGUGUGUGUGUGUGUGGGGGGGGGGGGGGUUUAACGCCCUCAGAAAUUGUUACAGAGCUUAUAGCAAUGUAUCUAUCUUGCUUCCCUAUAAGGAUACAAAGAAAAUCUUCUUGACUGCUCUUCUAUACAAUGUAUCUAUCCACUCCAUUUUUGCUUCCCUGUAGUAACACGAAGAAAAUCUAGUUGACCGACGUCUUUAUGAAUACCUAGCACCAUAGCACAAGGAACUUCUUUGUAGUGAUGUGACUGUUCUGUAUCUUGAUUGUGUGUAUGGAAUGCAUAGGUCACAACCCUAUAACAAUAAAAUUAACAAAGUUUAAUCUGA